GACGAACGCUGGCGGCGUGCUUAACACAUGCAAGUCGAACGGUGAAGCGAGUGCUUGCACUCGUGGAUCAGUGGCGAACGGGUGAGUAACACGUGAGUAACCUGCCCAUCACUCUGGGAUAAGCACUGGAAACGGUGUCUAAUACUGGAUACGACCAACCCUUGCAUGGGGGGGUGGUGGAAAGAUUUAUCGGUGAUGGAUGGACUCGCGGCCUAUCAGCUUGUUGGCGGGGUAAUGGCCCACCAAGGCGACGACGGGUAGCCGGCCUGAGAGGGUGACCGGCCACACUGGGACUGAGACACGGCCCAGACUCCUACGGGAGGCAGCAGUGGGGAAUAUUGCACAAUGGGCGAAAGCCUGAUGCAGCGACGCCGCGUGAGGGAUGACGGCCUUCGGGUUGUAAACCUCUUUCAGCAGGGAAGAAGCGAAAGUGACGGUACCUGCAGAAGAAGCACCGGCUAACUACGUG
rnacentral:rRNA from 1 species